rnacentral:misc_RNA from 1 species
GAUGUCAUACCCAACAAGAACGCCUUAGCUGGCAAGCAAUAAAGAUGUCAUGCUAAAGCGCACACGAUGGGCUGACAGUCAUUCGUAGAGAUAAAUCAUAGCAAUGAGGCCUAAAGGCACUCAACCAAUAAUGUACACUGCAUCCACAAGCACUCAAGGCACCGAUGGCUUCCUUGGAGAGAUAGUGGCAAAAGCCAUGCAAUCAUCCAAGAGCCAAUAGGCGCUAUUGUGCACCCACUCCUAUACCGCAUAAAAUGUGUGGAGGGGAGAGAGAGUAUAGCACCGAGUCAUAUUUCACUCAUGAAAGACUAUGUAUAUAGCACAGGCAAAUAUCGUGGCACCAAUAGCUUCAAUGGUCCAUAAAAUGAAAUAUUGCACAAAUUUCGGUUGGGUGCACAAGGCACGGAGCCCGCCAUUACAUGCAAUAAUUAAACCACUUAUAUGCCGACACGGUCAUUCUAUGUGCAUUGCCUUAUCGCCCACAUGCGUGCCCAUCAAGAAGAUAGUGGCAAGGGGUCAAAUGAGGCAAUCAACAUUG